UUUCAGCGGCAGAAAGGUAGGUGUUGGCUUUUUUCCUCAGAAACUUUAGAAGCAGGAAGAGGUAGCGUUGAGGGUUUCUUUCCUUCUUCCCCAGUCCUAGCUCCCAGGACCCCCAACACUGAGCGUCAACUAGGAACCAGAGACUCUAGGGACAGUCCUGCCGGCAGACGGGGGCUCAGGACCUGAGAGGACGAGACGUGGGCUUCGUCCCUCCCUCACACCCCCUCCUCACUGGCCUCUGGGACCUCAGUUCUGCCCAGGGCCUCGCCCACCUGUGCUAUUUCCCCAGAAGACCCGGAUGGUCAGCCAGGCCUCCAAGGAGAGCCCCCAAGGCCACUCACCUGCGCACAGCAGCGACAGCAGCAGGAGCAUCUCUGAGAUGAGGCUCUGGGCUUCCUGUGGGGGAGAGAGAAG